rnacentral:ribozyme from 1 species
AGACAGAAGGAUCAACCCAUAAAGUAAUAAUACAACACCAACCUCUACCACACACCUCUAUAUGUCUUCCUUGCGUCUACCUUUGCAAUUCCCAUCUCUUUAUCUACCUGCAUCUACCUCUUCACUUCAUCUUUCCUUCCACCUUUUCAACAUUCACAAAAAACAGAGAGCAGACAUAGAAAUACAACUAAAAAGAUAGGAAUAGUAAUAAAAAAACAA